rnacentral:rRNA from 1 species
AGCGGCGGACGGGUGAGUAACGCGUGGGAACGUGCCCUUCUCUACGGAAUAGUUCCGGGAAACUGGGUUUAAUACCGUAUACGCCCUUCGGGGGAAAGAUUUAUCGGAGAAGGAUCGGCCCGCGUUGGAUUAGGUAGUUGGUGGGGUAAUGGCCCACCAAGCCGACGAUCCAUAGCUGGUUUGAGAGGAAGACCAGCCACAUUGGGACUGAGACACGGCCCAAACUCC